rnacentral:rRNA from 1 species
AGUGGCGAACGGGUGAGUAACGCGUAAGAACCUGCCCUUGGGAGGGGAACAACAACUGGAAACGGUUGCUAAUACCCCGUAGGCUGAGGAGCAAAAGGAGAAAUCCACCCAUGGAGGGGCUCACGUCUGAUUUGCUAGUUGGUGAGGUAAUAGCUUACCAAGGCGGUGAUCAGUAGCUGGCCCUAGAGGAUGAUCAGCCACACUAGGACUGAGGCACGGCCGAGACUCC